GGAUGUGAGGGCAAUCUGGCUGCGACAUCUGUUACCCCAUUGAUCACCAGGGUUGAUUUGGCUGAUGGGGCUGGCUAGGCAGGUGUCCCCUUCCUCCCUCAACGCUCCAUGUGCGUUCCUCUCAAAGCUGUGGGCUCGGUCAGUCAAAGAGGAUGAACUUCCCUGAUAGAAGAGGGCCAGUCUUUGGUCACGGGUAUACAAGUAGCCGUGCUCCCCUGCUAGAACCUCCAAACAAGCUCUCAAGAUAAGGAUUUUUUCUGACUUCUACUUCCCCAUUUCAUGCUGAAGAUACUACUAUUUCAAUAAAG
rnacentral:sRNA from 1 species